UACGUAGGGGGCGAGCGUUGUCCGGAAUUAUUGGGCGUAAAGGGCGCGUAGGCGGCCUGGCAAGUGACGGGUGAAAUCCCUCGGCUUAACCGAGGAACUGCCUGUCAGACUGCUUGGCUUGAGACCGGGAGAGGUGAGUGGAAUUCCCAGUGUAGCGGUGAAAUGCGUAGAUAUUCGCAAGAACACCAGUGGCGAAGGCGGCUCACUGGCCCGAUACUGACGCUGAGGCACGAAAGCGUGGGGAGCAAACAGG
rnacentral:rRNA from 1 species